AUUUCAUCUCCAGUUACCUAUGUGCAUUCCAAGAUGGCUUUCAAAAUCUGAGCAAUGAAGAGAAGUCCAAACUGGAAGAAGAAGUGAUGAUAGAAGUUAACAGGUUUGCCCUUGCAUCACACUUCUUCUGGGGUCUGUGGUCUAUUAUACAAGCAAAGAUUUCGUCCAUUGAGUUUGGUUACCUGGAAUAUGCAUUGUCCAGAUUUGAUGCAUACUUUGAUCAGAAGAGGAAGCUGAAGGUGUGAAUGUUGGAG